rnacentral:pre_miRNA from 3 species
UCUUAUGGAUAAGCAAAGCAAGUAAUUUCUUGAGAUGGAAUCUACUCUUGGUGAAGGUGCUGUAAA